rnacentral:lncRNA from 1 species
AACAAAUAAAUCUUCGUGUACAACAGAAGAUCACAACUCAGUUCUAGUUUCUUCAUCAGUUCUAGUUUCUUCAUCUUCCUUCUUUUCCAUGCUUUUUGCUUCUAUUAGUUUUUUGUUCUUCUUGAAGACUUGUAACCCAUUGAAUGAUAUCAUUGCACUUGAAGUUUCACUCUAUAAAAUUUUGGUUAAAAAAAAGGAUUAACUGUUUGAAAAUUAAUACAAAGUAUUGGUGAGAAUCAAAAUUAUCAUUUGUAAGUAGAUUUAGCAUAAAAUGACAGAAUACCUUUAUUUUAUGCUUCUCCAAACUAUGCAGGAAAACACACGGUUCCAAAUGAUCAGUUAGAUGCAUCUUUAAACUGAUUUUGGCCUGAUCUUAGGGGGUAUUAUUCAACCUUGUAUUUUAAUUGAUUUGGAUGUAUUUCAAAAUCUAGCGUUAUUUAAUGAUGUAUUUUAAAAACUACAGUAAAAUCUGUUGUUAUUGGAUUUAACAUUUGUUGGAUGUAUUUUAAAGUACUUUAAAACAAUUUUACAUCUAAAACACGUACAAACACAAUC